GAUGAACGCUAGCGGCAGGCCUAAUACAUGCAAGUCGAACGGAGCCUUCGGGCUUAGUGGCGCACGGGUGCGUAACACGUAUGCAACCUACCUUACAUUGGGGGAUAGCCUUUCGAAAGGGAGAUUAAUACCGCAUAAGACAGUAACAUGGCAUCAUGUAGCUGUUAAAGAUUUAUCGAUGUAAGCUGGGCAUGCGUCCAAUUAGUUAGUUGGUGAGGUAACGGCUCACCAAGACGAUGAUUGGUAGGGGAACUGAGAGGUCAAUCCCCCACACUGGCACUGAGAUACGGGCCAGACUCCUACGGGAGGCAGCAGUAGGGAAUAUUGGGCAAUGGGCGCAAGCCUGACCCAGCCAUGCCGCGUGCAGGAAGAAGGCGUUCUGCGUUGUAAACUGCUUUUAUAUAGGAAGAAACGACCCUUGCGAGGGGCAUUGACGGUAUUAUAUGAAUAAGCACCGGCUAACUCCGUG
rnacentral:rRNA from 1 species